CCGACGGAACCCGCCGCUGAUUUUUUGACACGAGAUCCCGCGUUAACUCCAGCGGAAGUUGCAAAUUUGAUAGAUGAAAUACACACUUUCCCAUUAACCGAAAACUUGGGACAAUUUGACCGGCCCCAACAAAUUAUAAUCCACAGACAGUUGUAUGCUUACGGCCACUGGGCAACCCAAGUAGAUGACAAUGUCCAUCAGAUAACAAAUCUUGAGAGACUGUAUUGUUGAGCUGGUGUUAGAGUCUUGAGUGAGACAUGUCUUCCCGUGGUUAACGAGGCGGACACGAUAUCUGUCAGUAGGUUGAGGGCUGAAUUUGGUUGCAUACUAGACCCGAUGUAUCCGCGUGAUAUUACCGAUUUCCCAGAUGUCGAACAACAUCAACAUGUGAGGGCAUCGGCUGAGGCGAAUGGCUUUUGGAUUCGAUGAGGAGACAUAUAGUCGAUGAGGGGAUACGUAGGGGAUGUUUGUAAGUAGUGAGAAUAUUUACUAUCUUUGUAGAAUGCUGAAAUUGUUAUUAAUUUUUCUUGCGGUGGCAUCUAUUUUGUAGUGUUUUGGACGAUUAAGUGAAAGUUUGUAACUUGUGAGAGAUGUUUUUUACUGGGGUGUAUGGUGUCUAUUUUUUGUUUCCUUUUCAGGAUUGCCGUAAGUUGUUUUGUUGUUUCUUUAUAAUCUGUCUGCAUAUUUGUUGUGCCAGCACUAUUUAAACAAUUUUGUGUUGUGUCAAAUCCAGCAUUAAGGCAGGAAAUAGUUUUGAACCAUGGAUAGUUUCUGGUUCCCUAAGAAUUGAUGGAUGAUGACGUUAGUUCCCUCUGAAAUCUGAAUUUUGGAAGAAUUAGAUGAUAUCAUCGGGAAUGGCUUAAAGGAACUAUUUUAUGACGAGAAUGUUGAAGCGGUAAAAUCUUGGCAAAUUCAUUAUGAUGAUUCGGCCAUCGAUAGAUUGGAGACAAGGGGGCUAAUUUGGAUGAAGCAGAAGAAGAUGGAUUCUUCAAGGCUUUUAAGCUCCAGAAGAAAUUUCAGUCGCUGACUGUGGUAACCCAGAUCGCUUGGAAAUUUGUCGGCUUUAUGGCGAGAUCCAGCUCAUUCCGUUGUAUGGGACACAAUGGUACCUGGAAGAAAGAGAACAUGUGUCGGUCGUCCAAAGCCAUCUUCAGUGGAGAAGCUUACUAAAGAUCUAUGCACGAUCUUACAUGAAACAGAGGUCCUCCCACAUAUCUGUAUCUUAUGAAGAGGAUUUUCUUUUUGAGAGCGACACAAGUAUGGUCUCUGUUGAGAUAGGACAUGGAAGCAUUCUUAUUUGAUAUCCGAGCUCUAUAUCCUGGGAACAGGAAUCUGAAGCUAGCUCUCUUUCAGUUGAGAACAAAAGACACCCACCAAACGAGGCAAUUCACAUUUGGCCGCCCUUCCUGUUGAUAUUUAUAAGAAAAAAGGUACCAACUUUCAAGUCCAGGGAUAAAAAAAAUGCAAGAAACCUAAUGGACAAGGGCUGCAACAUAUGUAGAUUAAAAGGAUUGCGUUUCUUCUAAGUUAACCAGGAAAAGUCAAACUCCACUCGUGGUACUGGUUUUACGAGUGUGAGAAUCAAGGAUCAAAAUGUUGUUUCGGCUAAUUCUAGAUACUCCAUUAGGGGAGAUUAUUGAGGGAACAGGAGCUAACUUGCGGCACCACAUUGAUGGCCCCGUUCGUGCUUUCCCAAGCCUUUAUUUCACUCUUUUCCUUAGUUUUCA